rnacentral:rRNA from 1 species
UCGGGAAUUUUGGGCAAUGGGGGAAACCCUGACCCAGCAACGCCGCGUGAAGGAUGAAGUAUUUCGGUAUGUAAACUUCGAAAGAAUAGGAAGAAUAAAUGACGGUACUAUUUAUAAGGUCCGGCUAACUACGUGCCAGCAGCCGCGGUAACACGUAGGGACCAAGCGUUGUUCGGAUUUACUGGGCGUAAAGGGCGCGUAGGCGGUGUGUCAAGUCAGUUGUGAAAUCUCCGAGCUUAACUCGGAACGGUCAACUGAUACUGUCACACUAGAGUACAGAAGGGGCAAUCGGAAUUCUUGGUGUAGCGGUGAAAUGCGUAGAUAUCAAGAGGAACACCUGAGGCGAAGGCGGGUUGCUGGGCUGAUACUGACGCUGAGGCGCGAAAGCUAGGGUAGCAAACGGGAUUAGAUACCCAAGUAGUCCCUGAGCGGGC